AGCCGAGGGCGCCCUCCCGGGCGCGCAGAAAGCCGGCGGUGGGGGUGGGAGAGCGUCAAAACCGUUAGCUCGCUUCCCCCCUCCCUCCCUAAGGUUUCUUUUCUCUUCCUGUCCAAAUAUUCAAAUUUCCGCGCCUUAAAUAACAGUCUCCUUUUAUUUAGUUAGUUUUCCCCGGCAGGUUUGGCCCUCGGCUCCUCUCUGCCCCACCUCCGGGUCCGAGAUGCCUGCGGCGGGGCCUGGGUGCUGGACCUGUCGCCCUGGCUCCCCCCGGGUCGCAGCCUGCGCGGCACUUCGAGCGCCCACCGGAGCCACACACAGCUCGCUCUCCCGGCGACCUCGCUCGACCCGGCUGUCUGGACACGCGGAGCCACGCAGGCCGCCCCCACCUCCGGGCCGGCCGGACGCCGGCCGACCUCCCCAGCGCCACUGCACUCCCUGAACUUGGGAGCGCCUGGGCUUUGGGGCUGAGAACCCGGGAGCCCAGGAGCAGCGGAAGGGCGAGCUGCAGACGAGGCGCGUGGCGGGAGCCGGCCCCAGCCCCCAGUCCGCGGGAUAACCUUGGAGGCUCCCGGGCCCUGAGAGAGAGGGCAUAAAUGGAAUGAAGAUUAUUUCUGAAGUUACUGAAGAAGAUUCUGGUGGUAAACGUAGUGCAAGAAAAAAAGUCUUGCUAAAGCUGAGUGUUUUAUGUUACCCCUUAACUUCUAGUGAAGACACUAAAGAAUAAAAAUAUAAUAUUAAAUGGAACUGUGAUCAGAAUAAACAUAAGAAAAUGUUGUGGUCAAA